AUUGAACGCUGGCGGCAGGCCUAACACAUGCAAGUCGAGCGGAUGAAGGGAGCUUGCUCCUGGAUUCAGCGGCGGACGGGUGAGUAAUGCCUAGGAAUCUGCCUGGUAGUGGGGGAUAACGUCCGGAAACGGGCGCUAAUACCGCAUACGUCCUGAGGGAGAAAGUGGGGGAUCUUCGGACCUCACGCUAUCAGAUGAGCCUAGGUCGGAUUAGCUAGUUGGUGGGGUAAAGGCCUACCAAGGCGACGAUCCGUAACUGGUCUGAGAGGAUGAUCAGUCACACUAGAACUGAGACACGGUCCAGACUCCUACGGGAGGCAGCAGUGGGGAAUAUUGGACAAUGGGCGGGAACCUGAUCCAGCCAUGCCGCGUGUGUGAAGAAGGUCUUCGGAUUGUGAAGCACUUUAAGUUGGGAGAAAGGGCAGUAAGUUAAUACCUUGCUGUUUUGACGUUACCAACAGAAUAAGCACCGGCUAACUUCGUG
rnacentral:rRNA from 1 species